UACGGGGGGAGCAAGCGUUGUUCGGAUUUACUGGGCGUAAAGGGCGGGUAGGCGGCCACCGCAAGUCAGUUGUGAAAUCUCCGGGCUUAACCUGGAAAGGUCAACUGAUACUGCGGGGCUAGAGUGCAGAAGGGGCAACUGGAAUUCUCGGUGUAGCGGUGAAAUGCGUAGAUAUCAGGAAGAACACCCGUGGCGAAGGCGGCUCUCUGGGACGGUACUGACGCUGAGACGCGAAAGCGUGGGGAGUGAACAGG
rnacentral:rRNA from 1 species